rnacentral:rRNA from 1 species
CAGUCGCCACGGUAAUACGUAGGUGGCAAGCGUUGUCCGGAAUUAUUGGGCGUAAAGGGCUCGCAGGCGGUUUCUUAAGUCUGAUGUGAAAGCCCCCGGCUCAACCGGGGAGGGUCAUUGGAAACUGGGAAACUUGAGUGCAGAAGAGGAGAGUGGAAUUCCACGUGUAGCGGUGAAAUGCGUAGAGAUGUGGAGGAACACCAGUGGCGAAGGCGACUCUCUGGUCUGUAACUGACGCUGAGGAGCGAAAGCGUGGGGAGCGAACAGGAUUAGAGACCCCCGUAGUCCCUGUCUCUUAUAA